UCGUAACAAGGUCUCCGUUGGUGAACCAGCGGAGGGAUCAUUACCGAGUUAUACAACUCCCAAACCCACUGUGAACCUUACCUCAGUUGCCUCGGCGGGAACGCCCCGGCCGCCGGCCCCCGCGCCGGCGCCGGACCCAGGCGCCCGCCGCAGGGACCCCAAACUCUCUUGCAUUACGCCCAGCGGGCGGAAUUUCUUCUCUGAGUUGCACAAGCAAAAACAAAUGAAUCAAAACUUUCAACAACGGAUCUCUUGGUUCUGGCAUCGAUGAAGAACGCAGCGAAAUGCGAUAAGUAAUGUGAAUUGCAGAAUUCAGUGAAUCAUCGAAUCUUUGAACGCACAUUGCGCCCGCCAGCAUUCUGGCGGGCAUGCCUGUUCGAGCGUCAUUUCAACCCUCGAGCCCCCCCGGGGGCCUCGGUGUUGGGGGACGGCACACCAGCCGCCCCCGAAAUGCAGUGGCGACCCCACCGCAGCCUCCCCUGCGUAGUAGCACACACCUCGCACCGGAGCGCGGAGGCGGUCACGCCGUAAAACGCCCAACCUUCUUAGAGUUGACCUCGGAUCAGGUAGGAAUACCCGCUGAACUUAAGCAUAUCAAUAA
rnacentral:misc_RNA from 1 species